GAUCUCUCAGGGGCAAGCAUGUUUCUCUUGGAUAAGAGUGGGGUGAAAGGCACUAUCGAAGUCUGAAUGCUGGUUGCAGAAGAUAAUUUGAAGAAUGGGAACAUUAAGCCAUACUCAUUCAACCUACUCUUUAAGAGUUUGACAGGAGGGCCUAUACCUGCAUAUGCUCCCACCUCCAUCCCAAGGGGAAAAAGAUGUCAAUGAUGCGGACUUUCAGAGUUACAAGAGAAUUCAUGGAUUCCCUCCUCUGCCUCUUCAAGAAUCUGAUCCAUGGCCUACUUGACAGAUGACCUUCCUGCCUCUGCUUGAAUAUCUCCAGGGAUGGGAAGCUCACCACUAGUUGAGCCAGUUACCGACACAUGGCUUUGAAGAGCUAUAUGACUCCCUAUAAUUCUAACAGACUACUGGGACUGGGUUUUAGGAUUGUCUCUCCCAUUAGAGAACUGGUAACUUUGGAACUGGAACUUUUAAGAUCAGUGUAGACUUGGAUGGGGUUCAAGAUUCUAGUGCCUGCCACCAGUCUGCUCAUUCUCUUGAGAUAAGCUCAAAUACAUCAGUAAUAAAGUAAUGAUUCUG
rnacentral:lncRNA from 1 species